rnacentral:sRNA from 1 species
AAAGUUGCAAGGUACUUUGAUAAGAUCAAAUUUUUCAGACCUAACAUCAAAACUCAUGAUUGCAGACUCAUUUAGUUUUGUGCCAAUAAAAGCUCGAUAAUACAAAACACCGUUGAUGCAAAGUUCUUCACUUACAGGAGAGUGAGGAGGAAUAAUAUCAUGAAU